rnacentral:rRNA from 1 species
UACAGAGGUCCCGAGCGUUGUUCGGAUUCACUGGGCGUAAAGGGUGCGUAGGUGGUGAGGUAAGUCGGAUGUGAAAUCUCCGGGCUCAACCCGGAAAUGGCAUUGGAAACUACCUUGCUGGAGGAUUUGAGGGGGGAUUGGAAUACUUGGUGUAGCAGUGAAAUGCGUAGAUAUCAAGUGGAACACCAGUGGCGAAGGCGGCUCUCUGGGACGUGACUGACGCUGAGACGCGAAAGCGUGGGGAGCAAACAGG